rnacentral:rRNA from 1 species
UACAGAGGGUGCAAGCGUUGCUCGGAUUUACUGGGCGUAAAGCGUACGCAGACGGCUGGAAGGGUCGGACGUGAAAGCCCCGGGCUCAACCCGGGAAAUGCGUCCGAAACCGCUCAGCUCGAGUAUGAGAGAGGAAAGCGGAAUUCCUGGUGUAGAGGUGAAAUUCGUAGAUAUCAGGAGGAACACCGGCGGCGAAGGCGGCUUUCUGGCUCAUUACUGACGUUCAGGUACGAAAGCGUGGGUAGCAAACAGG